AUCCGUUUUUGGUUCAUAAACAUGAUGGUUAGGUUUUCACUCUAUUGUAUGACAUGCGCCUCCCUUUAAACCUUGUUACAAUGUCGGCAUAUUACCUGUCUGAUG